ensembl:lincRNA
GGCAGCGCUAGCAGCUCAACUUCAUGGCGAGAACAACACUGGAAACGUUGAUGGCUUGGAUCGACAACUCAACUCGUCCUUUUCAAUGGGAUGUGUCUGAUUGGAGGCACGAUUUGAGAUCAUGUUGAGUUACUGCUGUGGUUCAUUGGAAUCUCCCAUGAUGAAACUGAGUAUGUCGGCCGAUGGCUUUCACUUCGCAGGGCUUCAAGGCAGCUGUUCAGCACCAUCUGAGAUCAACCCCUAUCCAAAAAGUGAGUCUGCAGUGGGGAUGGACGCGUCCUGGAGCAAGCAGUCCAUAUUCUUUACCUGCCGAACCAAUCACAAAGACACGAAGCUUUCAUUCAGGCAGACCUUGUCUUCGCAAGGGAAAAUCACCGGCCUGUCCAGGAGUAGUAAGUUUGUUUAGAGAGAGCGAGAAAAACGACAAAAGUAAUAAUGUACAAGAAGAGUAAAAGCGCCCAGUAAAGGCAACAAGCAUGUGCAGCUGAUUGAUGUGCAAGCAUCAGCGCAGCCAAGCAGCUGACUACCCGUGUGUGGCCUAGCAUGGUGCUUGCAUCGAUGGGGUGGGGUCCGGGCUGUGAAUUGCAAAGGGCGUACGCCAUGGGUCAGCGGCAAGCCUAAUACGAUGGCGGUGAAUUUCUCAUGAUCUGUCCAUAGAUUCCCAAAGGUGGCUCGGCUGCACGGAGCUCGAUCAAGACUGGGAGAAGAACCCUCCACUCGUUUGUUUUCUUUCGACUGAACACAACAUCAUUAGUGGUGGCUUGUUCUUGCUUGGGCUAAUCACUAGCUGUCUGAUAAAAUGUGGGCGGAAUGCAGCUGAUUCUUAAACAUUGAGAGCUCUUUAUCUGAGCAUGAAGGUGAACUUCAUACAAUCCAGGUGUAAUACGUUUUUCAAUAAAAUAUUCUAUCGUUUUUGGGGGUUAUUUUUGCUACAUUUCAUUUG